CCGCAUUGAACUCCACCAGCGGUGGCACCUCCCUGCUCCGCGGGGUCAGGAGCUGCGGGAACUCCUCGAGGAAGACCUGGUGGUCACUGCAGUCCAGCAGGUACUGUGCCCGGUCCCGGUGCUGCCCAAGGGCCUCCAGAUGAUCCUUCAAUGCGUUCCGGUCCUUUUCUAUGUGUCCCAGAGCCACCAGCUCCUCCUGCUUC
rnacentral:lncRNA from 1 species